UAUGAUGAGGAAUACUGCUUCUGCUACUACUACUAAUAAUAAGAAUAUAUCGAUCCUUCUGUCUUUCUAUCUGUUUAUAUAUCUUUAAAAAUUAAGAAAAAUAGCUUUACUACACAUGGCUGGGAUGAGACUACAUUUUAAAUAUCUGUCAGGAUUCCAUGUUAAUGAUUCAAAACCUGAGAAACAGCUUAAUUGUGCUUGACAGCCCUGGAGGGUUUCCCUCGCUGCAAUCGCACUGUAUGCUCUGUGCCAGACAGGCUGGCUCCUGUAGCGAGAUGCCCAGGACAGUGCAGGGUCAGCCAGAGCCCCAGGUACGGUCUCUGGGUGUGGGCCUGUGCUGGGAGGUCAAGAAUGAGUUAAUUAGGCAAUAACACCUGGUGAUUACCUGGGCAUUGUAUGUAAAUUCAAACACUGGAUUGAGGUUUUGUGGAAUUGUAAUUGUGUGGAAUUGUAAUUGUGUGGAAUUGUAUUUUAUGGAAUUGUAAUUGUGUGGAAUUGUAAUUGUGUGGAAUUGUAUUUUAUGGAAUUGUAGGUUUUUAGGAUUUUGCAUGACUGGCAUUACACUGUUGUAAAAAAUAAAAAUAAAACAAUACUUAGUGUUAUAAUGUUUUAACCUGCUCCUUUGU